CGCUGGCGGCAGGCCUAACACAUGCAAGUCGAGCGGAAACGAGUUAUCUGAACCUUCGGGGAACGAUAACGGCGUCGAGCGGCGGACGGGUGAGUAAUGCCUAGGAAAUUGCCCUGAUGUGGGGGAUAACCAUUGGAAACGAUGGCUAAUACCGCAUGAUGCCUACGGGCCAAAGAGGGGGACCUUCGGGCCUCUCGCGUCAGGAUAUGCCUAGGUGGGAUUAGCUAGUUGGUGAGGUAAGGGCUCACCAAGGCGACGAUCCCUAGCUGGUCUGAGAGGAUGAUCAGCCACACUGGAACUGAGACACGGUCCAGACUCCUACGGGAGGCAGCAGUGGGGAAUAUUGCACAAUGGGCGCAAGCCUGAUGCAGCCAUGCCGCGUGUAUGAAGAAGGCCUUCGGGUUGUAAAGUACUUUCAGUCGUGAGGAAGGCGGCGUCGUUAAUAGCGGCGUUGUUUGACGUUAGCGACAGAAGAAGCACCGGCUAACUCCGUGCCAGCAGCCGCGGUAAUACGGAGGGUGCGAGCGUUAAUCGGAAUUACUGGGCGUAAAGCGCAUGCAGGUGGUUUGUUAAGUCAGAUGUGAAAGCCCGGGGCUCAACCUCGGAAUAGCAUUUGAAACUGGCAGACUAGAGUACUGUAGAGGGGGGUAGAAUUUCAGGUGUAGCGGUGAAAUGCGUAGAGAUCUGAAGGAAUACCGGUGGCGAAGGCGGCCCCCUGGACAGAUACUGACACUCAGAUGCGAAAGCGUGGGGAGCAAACAGGAUUAG
rnacentral:rRNA from 1 species